GCCGCCGUAACGUAGCUUGGUAGCGUACAGGCCUGAAAAGCCUGGAGGCCGGGUUCAAACCACCCGACAAGGUGUGAGCGUCCCGGCGGCGGCCCCA
rnacentral:tRNA from 3 species